CUUUUGUUUGGUAGACUCACGUUGACACUCAACUACGGCACGCAAAGCCGACAAACAACGGAAAACCCUAACAAAAUGCCCCGUUUCCAUGUUAUUCACUUUAUGUAACAGGUUUCUUCCAGCUUCCACUUCCCCUUCGUGCAUAACUUCUUCCAUUUUCUCCUCUACUUCUAGAACCUCCUGCUCUAUCAUUCAGUACAGGACUUUGGAAACACUUCUCUCAUGAGAAUGCUGUUAAAGCUGUCAUUGGAGUCCAGAGUUAUCUCUCUUUGUGAAUAAUAAAUGAAGUGUCUACCUUUAUAUUGCAAACCGAGGUCUUUGAAGGAGUGAAAGUUCCCUUUGUGUUUUAAUUUUCUUGCUACCAAAUUGUGAAAAAUAAUAAAUUUGUCACCUGUGCCAAGCACCUAGUAGUUGCAACCUGUGUCCUGUUUUCAAUGUCUGGCACUGCUAUGGCAGUUGUGAAACCUGAGAUGACAUCCUACAUCUGGCUUCAAACUGUGGAUGGCUCUAUUCAUCAAGUAGAGGAAGAGGUAGCCAUGUUUUGCCCUAUGAUUUGCCAGGAAGUACUUCAAACAGGCAUGGGAUCUUCCAAAACUUGUGCUAUAUCUCUUCCACAUCAUGUCAAUCCUGCAAUCUUUGAUUUGAUACUUGAUUACUGUCGGUUUCACCAAGUACCAGGACAUUCUAACAAGGAGCUCAAAAUUUUCAACGAGAAGUUUGUACGGAUAGAUACAAAGAAGUUAUGUGAGUUGACAUCUGCUGCUGACAGCCUCCAACUGAAGCCUUUGGUUGACCUGACCAGUCGAGCCCUUGCUAGGAUUAUUGAAGGAAAAACUCCCGAGGAGAUUCGUGAAACAUUUCAUUUGCCUGAUGACCUGACUGAGGAAGAGAAGCUGGAGCCUCUGAGAAACGUAACUGAUGAUCCUCGUAUUCGACUUCUAAACAGAUUGUAUGCUAGAAAGAGGAAAGAACUACAAGAGAGAAAGAAACUGAAGGAUGUUGCGGUUGAGGAGGAACCAAAGGAUGAGCGUUCAGUUGAAGAUCUUCUAUCAUUUAUUAAUGGCGCAGAUGGAGAUAUAAAGGGAACUAGAGCAAGUAAAAAUAAAAAGAAGAAUAGAAGGAAAGACCAGGCAAAGGAUCUUUCUUCAAAAAAUGCAAAUGAAAACAAUAAGGGGUUGAAUCUUCUUCCUUCUGCAUAUCACAAUGUCAAUUUUGACAAGGCCUUAGAGGCCUCUGCAAGUAAACACUCAAGGAUGCAAACCAUUCCAGCUGUUAAUUUUUCUCCAAAAUUUGAAUUUAUUGAUGGUGAUGUCGACGAUGAUUUAGAUCCUGCUGUGAAGGAGGAGCUUGACAGGGAAGUGGAAGAUUUUGCGCGAAGAUUGAAUUCAGAUUGGCCUGAAAGGAUGCAAAUUUUAUCUUUGGGUCAGGACAGAAGACUGGUACCAAUUUCUGUGAAUGGCAAUGGUUCAACGCACCUGUACACGAGUCUGUGUUGAGGGUGAGGAGUUGCAGCUGGGUUCAUGAUUGCAAGUCUAUCAUUGAGCAUUUAACUUAUGGUACAUCUAGGCUUUUGAUGAUAGUACAACACUGGCAGAUAAUUCAAUUUCUAAGUUUAGAGGAAGUUGAAGUGAUCUGAAAGGAUGGCAGCUCAGAGUUUGCAAGUCUCUUUGUAAACACCAUUUGCACAACCACCUUAAUAUCUCCAAGCUUUUUCGUCGAAUUGUAUUAUUAUAGCUGAAUUUUCUUGUACCUUUUAGUGGUGAGUUUUGGGUUGAUUGCAAGAUAGAGGAUUGAUUGCGUACUUACCACAAAGGAAAACGAAUUUUCCUUUUAGCUUUGGCUUCAUAUCAUUUAUAAGAUGUUGCUGAACGAUAAGGGCACACCUCUAUGUACAUUUAGAGUUAGACUGCUCUCUGGGUUAAUAUGCUUCACUAGUAUUUUUUUAUAAAAGUUGAGAAAUUUUCUUA